GGGGAAAUGGCGCAGUGGUAGCGCGUCGAGUUUGCAGUCUGCUUUAGCCAUUGUAAAUAUCUCGAAGGACCGGGGUUCAAUCCCCCGUUUCUCCA